CCUGGGUUGCUUGUAGGUGUCCUCAGAUUGUAAGGUCCCAGGGUUCACCAAGAAAAGCGGCGGCUGUGUUCAGAGUUCUCUCCCGGUGUCCCCCAGUUCCGUACAUCUUUUCUGGUAUUCUCUGAUCUACUGUGUUGCUGUUUGCAAGCAUAUCACCUACUCUUCUUGUUGUUGCGAGGAAAUACCCAAGAAGAAACAUUACAAACAAAGAAGGGGUCCUUCUGGCUCCAUGAUUAAGGGACUGUGGUCCAUCACGGCAGGCAAGGCUUGGCAUUAAGAGGAUGCGAUGCUGGCCACAUUGCUUCCACAGUCAGGAAGCAGAGAGGUGGCCGGCAGUUGGGAAUCACCUACGUUUUAGGGUCAUGAGGAUGAGGAACGAGAAAGGGAUGGUGGUCAUCCUGGGCUCCUUUGCAGAGGACCAGUCUUUCUCCUUCCUGCACUCUGAUCUGUUUGGCAGCUCAUCACAUAGAGCGAUCCACUCAGAUUCCAGCUUCCAUUGAGUGGCCACAGACCCAGCCUCCAGUAACAUCACAUCUUUCUUUUGUCCCUUCAGCCCUGGGAUGGUAGCUUCCUGCUGUUUCUAACUGUAUUAUAUUGAACUUACCUGGUUGGUUUAACAGCUCACUCUCUGGGUUUUCCAUACUGCUAAGACACCUUGAAACCCCCAAAUAGUUGGUCUAGACAAUUGUGGGUGCUGGAGAGAGACCUCAAUUUUGCAGUAGGCUAGAUACUAACUAGCUAGUGGGAUAGCUGCUGUCUGAGGUGCAGAGCCUUAGAACCAGCAGCCCCAAAGGUAAAAACAGUCCUGAGUUCAAGUUCAAAGACAGGAGAUAAACUUUGCAAUUCAAAGACUGUCACACUGAGUUAUUCCCCUUUACUCUGAUAAAAUUAAAUUUCCUAAUUUUUGUCACUAUGACCAAAAUAACUUAAGGAGGGAAAGGCUUGUUUAGCUGCUAGUUUCAGAUGAGUGUGUGUGUAGGCUUCCUUCAUCUAAGUGUGGAAGGCAUUGUGGGUCCCUCUGUUCUCUGUGGUGAUACGAGCCUUUGGACUGGGAAGUGGAGACCAUGGUCAGAAGGCAGGACUGACCUUCAAAGGCCUGCCUCUAGUGAUCCGUAUCCCAUAUCCUGAAAGCUCCACCGUCUUCCAAAUAAUGCUACCUGCCCAGGAUGGAGUGUCUAAAACAUGAACAUCCGGGAACCAUUCUAGACUGAAACCAUAGCAGCCAGCCAUCUUUUUUUUUUUUUUUCCAUCAGGACCAUAUUGUGGGGGGCAGCAUGCUUUAUUGGUGUAUGGUAUCAGCUGCCGAUGUCAUCCAGGAAAGACAAUACCAUAGACACACCUAAAACAACAUGUAACCACAUAUCUGAGCACCCCCUCCAUCCAAUUCAGUAGACAUGUAAAAUCAAUCUUUAGACUUAUUCUCUGAGUUGGUUCCAAUCCAGUGAUGUUUCCCUGAUUGGACUCUGUUUGAUGCAGGGAUGAAAGUUUGCUUGUGACUUUGGUGUUCUGUUUUUAGAUGGCUAAAUAGAAAAAAAAUGUAAAAUUCAAUGAUAUUUCUCAAAUCAUGCGCCAUCAACGACUGAACGAUGAUGUAAGUUAUUAUGACCUCAUGUUAUUGUAACAUG